rnacentral:lncRNA from 1 species
GUCCUUCCUGUACCUGUCAACAGCUGCAGAGGAUGAGUUUCUAUGGAUGCUGCCCCUAUAAUUCAGAGAGGUUGCGGAACUCGGCCAAGAUUGCAGAGCAGACCUGCUGGCUCCACCACCUAUGCUCAGCCCACUGUUGCCCAUUCACAGGCUCUUUGGUGCUCCCUGCCCCAGGAGAGGACGUGACCGUGUGAAGUAGCAGGAAGUAGAAGGGGCCUCUGCUUGACUUUUAUAGGAAACAGCUUUGGAAUUAGGGGAAACUAUAAAGGCAACAGAUAUAGAAAAACACCCUGGGAGAGUAAAAACAGUCCCACCCCAUUGACUAGCAAAGUCCUCUCUGCAUGGAAGGAAGCCGGGCUGUGUGAGGGCCAUGGCUCCUCAUGGGGCUGGAUCCAGGGGUGGGGUGGGGG